rnacentral:rRNA from 1 species
CCGUGAUAAUGUAGCGAAAUCAAUCGUCAUUUAAUUGAUGACCAGUAUGAAUGGUUAAACGAAUUUUCCACUGUCUCGAAAAUAAACCCAAUGAAAUUGUAAUUAUAGUGAAGAUACUAUAAGAUAAUUGUAAGACGAAAAGACCCUAUAGAGCUUAACUAGAUUCAUAUUAAUUUCAACCUUGACGCAAAUUCAAUUAAGUAUGAAAGCUAGUUUGGUUGGGGCGCCCAUCUUUUAUAAAAAACAAAGAUAAACAAAGGUUUAAAAAUUUAAAAUACUUUAUUGUUUAAUUCAUAAAUUUAACAAUUACUAAUGUAGGUAAUAAUGACCCGUUUAUUUUAUCAAAUAAAAAUAACGAUCAAUAAAUAAAAGCUACCUUAGGGAUAACAGCGUUAUCUUGUUUAAGAGUUCUUAUCGACAACAAG